rnacentral:rRNA from 1 species
UGGGGAAUUUUGCGCAAUGGGCGAAAGCCUGACGCAGCAACGCCGCGUGAGUGAUGAAGGCCUUCGGGUCGUAAAGCUCUGUCAGAGGGGAAGAACCGUCUGGUGGCUAAUACCCACGAGGCCUGACG